UACAGAGGUCUCAAGCGUUGUUCGGAUUCAUUGGGCGUAAAGGGUGCGUAGGCGGCGCGGUAAGUCGGGUGUGAAAUCUCGGAGCUUAACUCCGAAACUGCAUUCGAUACUGCCGUGCUUGAGGACUGGAGAGGAGACUGGAAUUUACGGUGAGCGGUGAAAUGCGUAGAUAUCGUAAGGAAGACCAGUGGCGAAGGCGGGU
rnacentral:rRNA from 1 species